rnacentral:rRNA from 1 species
AGGCAUGCAAGUUGAGCGUACCCAGCCAAUGGGGAGCAGCGUAAGGGGCAGUAAGGCAUGGGUAUCUACCCGGGGAUCGGGCAUAGCCUGUAGAGAUACAGGGUAAUUCCCGAUGAUGUCGCAAGACCAAAGCUCCGGCGUCCCUGGAGGAGCCCAUGUGAUAUUAGCUAGUUGGUGGGGUAACGGCCUACCAAGGCGAAGAUGUCUAGCGGGUGUGAGAGCACGACCCGCGCCACUGGCACUGAGACACUGGCCAGACACCUACGGGUGGCUGCAGUCGAGGAUCUUCGGCAAUGGGCGCAAGCCUGACCGAGCGAGGCCGCGUGGGCGAUGAAGGCCUUCGGGUUGUAAAGCCCUGUCGAGGGGGAGAAAAGCCGCAAGGCGUGAUCUAUCCCUGGAGGAAGCACGGGCUAAGUUCGUGCCAGCAGCCGCGGUAAGACGAACCGUGCGAACGUUGUUCGGAAUCACUGGGCUUAAAGGGCGCGUAGGCGGGCUAUCAAGUCCGGGGUGAAAUCCUCCAGCUCAACUGGAGAACUGCCUCGGAUUCUGAUGGUCUCGAGGAGGAUAGGGGCACACGGAACUGUGGGUGGAGCGGUGAAAUGCGUUGAUAUCCAUAGGAACUCCGGUGGCGAAAGCGGUGUGCUGGAUCCUUUCUGACGCUGAGGCGCGAAAGCCAGGGGAGCAAACGGGAUUAGAUACCCCGGUAGUCCUGGCCCUAAACGUUGGGUACUAGGUAGUAGACUAGACAUGGGUUUACUUCCGAAGCAAAAGUGCUAAGUACCCCCGCCUGGGGAGUAUGGUCGCAAGGCUGAAACUCAAAGGAAUUUGACGGGGGGCUCACACAAGCGGUGGAGCAUUGUGGCUUUAUUUCGAGGCAACGCGAAAAACCCUUACCUGGGUUUUAACAUGUUGCGAAAGCCGGUUGAGAAAUUAGGAACCCGGAAAC